GGGGGUAUAGCUCAGCUGGGAGAGCAUCUGCCUUACAAGCAGAGGGUCUCGGGUUCGAUCCCUGAUGCCCCCACCA
rnacentral:tRNA from 3 species